rnacentral:lncRNA from 13 species
AUGCCUUCCCUCCACCAAGCAGCCAUCUUCCUCGGAUUCUUCCUCAUUGUGACAGGUGGCUCCACUGCCUUUCUCACCUCCCCUCAGAGUCGCUUGCAGGCCUUCUCUCUGUGCUGCGUGGUUCUGGGAGCCAUCAUGCUGAUUCUGGGGCUGUUCUGGGCCAUGAACAACAAGAACCACGUAGACUACAGCCAGGGAGAGUACCCAAACAUCCCCCACUAUCCUCACCAGGGACAACACCCCAACUACCCCUAUCCAAACCCAGACCUCAACUACCUUGGCCGGUACGCCCAUCCUGACCUGUGCCACGUCCUCUUCAGCCACCCUGGUCCUGUUGGACACUUCCCAGAGUCACAAUCAGCCUUGCUGCAGAGUUCCGAGCACCAGCAGCGAGGUGUGAAUGGGGGUGAUGAUGUGGACUACCCCCCACUCAGCCCCCCCUCCCACUAUCCCCACUGGCUGGGCCCCCCACCUCCCUACGAGGUCGCCAUCAAGAACACCUGUAGCUCCACCCACUUGCGCCGUGCCUACUCAGACGGACACCUGGCCUCGGAACCCCUGUUUGGCCAAUCACGGGAGAUCAGCUUUGAAGUGUGA